rnacentral:rRNA from 1 species
AUUGAACGCUGGCGGCAGGCCUAACACAUGCAAGUCGAACGAGUGGCGGACGGGUGAGUAAUGUCUGGGACACGUCCUGAUGGAGGGGGAUAACUACUGGAAACGGUAGCUAAUACCGCAUACACUCGGAUGUGCCCAGAUGGGAUUAGCUAGUAGGUGGGGUAACGGCUCACCUAGGCGACGAUCCCUAGCUGGUCUGAGAGGAUGACCAGCCACACUGGAACUGAGACACGGUCCAGACUCCUACGGGAGGCAGCAGUGGGGAAUAUUGCACAAUGGGAGCAAGCCUGAUACAGCCAUGACGCGUGUAUGAAGAAGGCCUUCGGGUUGUAAAGUACUUUCAGCGAGGAGGCUUUACUCGCAGAAUAAGCACCGGCUAACUCCGUGCCAGCAGCCGCGGUAAUUC